AAGCACUGUGACGCUCCAUCGACAACCAAAGGAGCGAGCAAAUUGUACGCAAAGACACCAGACGGUACAGAACCCACGCACAGACAGAGACACCGAGACACAUACACCAUUAGCAGCAAAAGGGCACACCAGUAACUGAGCAAAACUUGAGGAGUCUACAAUACUCUUCCAAAGGAGCAGAGAGAGCCCACCCUUGGAACUGCCUCCCAUGCUAGCUAUUCUUGUUACUUCCAUGAAUUCACCGCGCGUUCUGGAGGACCGACUUGCCUCAGCAACUGUGUCAUCAGAAGGCAGUAAACAGUAGCUUCUGCUUCAGAGUGGCAUGCUCCCUCUUCAUCUUCUGGAGUGACCGGCGGCAUCUGAGUGUGAGCCAUGGAAUGAGAUGCAGAAGCAAAGAAUGAGAUGCAGGUAUAGAGGAGGAAGAGUCGUCAAGUGUACGGUACCCUUCCAGAUUCCUGUCGUUGCAGUGGGCCUUAAACAUGGAGCACUCAUUCUUCAUCCUCAGUGCGCCAAUGCUGCGCCAAAAAUGAGGCUACCUUUAGUGAACUUGUAAUUAAGCACUAUCAGUUUGUGUAUCAGUGAGCUGACAAAUCUAAAAGCCAGUCCUGAAUAGGUAAUCAGAACAUUCUGCAUAUAUGUUUCUGGGCAUAUUCAUCCCAUCUAUACCUUGAUCCACUGCCUUUGAACUGGUGCACAAGCGAAUCCAACCGGUAGAAAUCCUGAGGGUACUUCUCACUGCAUGCAUCACAAGAAAUUCAAAGUGAAUACACUAUUCUGUAUGGUUUCUACUACUUGUUAAUUGAUAUCAUGUCUGAA